AUGGCUACUUUUAGUAUUUUUAGUAGAGACGGGGAUUUGCCAUGUUGGUCAGGCUGGUCUCGAAUUCCUGACCUCAGGUGAUCCACCCUCCUCGGCCUCCCAAAGUGCAGGAUUACAGGAGAGAGCCACCGCGCUAGGCCAAAAUUAUGUAAUUCUUGAAGAUCCUUCCUGAGUGCAAGAUCAAGUUAGGACAGAGGAACAGCAAAUAACAAGAUGGGGUGAUGGACAUGACUGGAGGGCAGUUCGAAACCUAAAGAGGAUGAACGCAGAACGGGCAACAGAGUCCGUAUGUCGGGCGGGCGACUGCACCCGCCCUUUCCUACCCAGGUAGGGCCGCGCCCUAGCACAUGGGCGUAAACACGCUCAACCAGAGAACUGCCCCUCCCGCAAGGCUCAGCGCUCGGACCGCGCAAGCGCACAUGCCCUCCUCCGCGGCCCCUACAAACAGGGCAACGCACAGGGCGUAGCCCGCUCCCUACAGAGGCUGCGCCUUAGAGGAACUGGCGUAGCGUCCUGGUAGACAUGCUGCAGCCCCGCCGUCCCCGGCUUCUCCGUGAGGUCCCCGGGACUCCUCGCCACCACCUGGCACUGGCCCCCGGCUGCCUGCUCCUGGAGUCGCGCGGGGCCCCCUCUCCGUCCCUGCCCAACCCGCGGAGGCUUACCUCACUCUCUCUUCGGGUUGCAUUCGCCAUAAGAGAGCCGGUAGACCCCUGAAAUCCCGGGACCGCCUCCCACGCAAAACGUGAGACAAACAAAAGGAAAGGCGGAAACGCAGAAACGCAGAGGUAGCCAGUGGAUGAGGCAUGCGCAGAGCCCACGCUCAAAGCCUGGCGCUGUUGGCGCCCAACCUGGAAACUACCUUUCCCGUGAGGACGCGAGAGCAGCCCUUCGGGAUUGGCAGAGAGGUGCCCCGCUAGGCAGUGGACAGAUGCGGUCUGAGUUGGUGUGGGAACUGCCCGCAGCCCUGGCUCUCCCGGGGCGACCCAAAGGGAUGCACUGCAGGGGAGACGGAGUCUAGCUCUGUCACCAGGCUGGAGCACAGUGGCAUGAUCUCGACUCACUGCAACCUCCACUGAAGAAGGAAUUCAUGAAUUUUACAAGUAUAAUCAAAGACCACCAAGAAAUUUUUACUUUUUCCUUCAAAAGCUAAGUGUAGUGUAGCACCCCCUGCCCAUAGUCUAAGUUACAGAAGAAUACUAACUGCCUGUUUUUCUUUCUGUGUUGUGAGCCUUAUCUGUUCUCACCAGUUUCACAUUCCUUGAGGCUCAGUGAGUUCCUGCGCACCUCCCUAGCACAGCUGCAAAGUUACAAGGUUGAUAUGCAUAUGUUACAGAAACAUAGUUUCCCAAGGAUGUGGAACAUGUAGUAUAGAUAAAUGUAAAAGACUGAUCAACUGCCUUUGUUCUCGCUUGUGUAAGUAGACUUCAUGAAUCACAUAGCUCCCGGCCACUGACUGCUUAAAAGGUGGCUGCAUUCUUUCUCCAGGGCUCAGACUUUCCUGGACGCUAGUCCUACUGAGCCAGGUGAUCCCCUUAAUAAAGGCUUUCCUGA
rnacentral:lncRNA from 1 species